UACGUAGGGGGCAAGCGUUGUCCGGAAUUAUUGGGCGUAAAGCGCGCGCAGGCGGUUUCUUAAGUCUGGUGUGAAAGCCCGCAGCUCAACUGCGGAGGGCCACUGGAAACUGGGAAGCUUGAGUGUAGGAGAGGAGAGCGGAAUUCCACGUGUAGCGGUGAAAUGCGUAGAGAUGUGGAGGAACACCUGUGGCGAAAGCGGCUCUCUGGCCUAUAACUGACGCUGAGGCGCGAAAGCGUGGGGAGCAAACAGG
rnacentral:rRNA from 1 species